rnacentral:rRNA from 1 species
UAGAGUACUGCAGGGGAGACUGGAAUUCCUGGUGUAGCGGUGGAAUGCGCAGAUAUCAGGAGGAACACCGGUGGCGAAGGCGGGUCUCUGGGCAGUAACUGACGCUGAGGAGCGAAAGCGUGGGGAGCGAACAGGAUUAGAUACCCUGGUAGUCCACGCCGUAAACGGUGGGUACUAGGUGUGGGUUUCCUUCCUUGGGAUCCGUGCCGUAGCUAACGCAUUAAGUACCCCGCCUGGGGAGUACGGCCGCAAGGCUAAA